GACGAACGCUGGCGGCGUGCUUAACACAUGCAAGUCGAGCGGUAAGGCCCUUUCGGGGGUACGACGAGCGGCGAACGGGUGAGUAACACGUGGGUGACCUGCCCUCAGCUCUGGGAUAAGCCUGGGGAACCGGGUCUAAUACCGGAUAUGACUCCAUGACGCAUGUUGUGGGGUGGAAAGCCUUGUGCGGCUGAGGAUGGGCCCGCGGCCUAUCAGCUUGUUGGUGGGGUGAUGGCCUACCAAGGCGACGACGGUAGCCGGCCUGAGAGGGCGACCGGCCACACUGGGACUGAGACACGGCCCAGACUCCUACGGGAGGCAGCAGUGGGGAAUCUUGCGCAAUGGGCGAAAGCCUGACGCAGCGACGCCGCGUGAGGGAUGACGGCCUGGUGUAA
rnacentral:rRNA from 1 species